AGACCUCAAAUCAGGUGGGAUUACCCGCUGAACUUAAGCAUAUCAAUAAGCGGAGGAAAAGAAACUAACCAGGAUUCCCCCAGUAACGGCGAGUGAAGAGGGAAGAGCCCAAA
rnacentral:rRNA from 3 species